AGAGGCUUAGGAUAAUAUUUAGACCAAGAGCCUUCAAAGCCCUAAAUGAAAGUGAGAAUCUUUCAGCCUCUG
ensembl:Mt_tRNA